CCUACGGGUGGCAGCAGUGGGGAAUAUUGCACAAUGGGGGAAACCCUGAUGCAGCGACGCCGCGUGAGUGAAGAAGUAUUUCGGUAUGUAAAGCUCUAUCAGCAGGGAAGAAAAUGACGGUACCUGACUAAGAAGCCCCGGCUAACUACGUGCCAGCAGCCGCGGUAAUACGUAGGGGGCAAGCGUUAUCCGGAUUUACUGGGUGUAAAGGGAGCGUAGACGGCAGCACAAGUCUGGAGUGAAAUGCCGGGGCUUAACCCCGGAACUGCUUUGGAAACUGUGCAGCUAGAGUGCAGGAGAGGUGAGUGGAACUCCUAGUGUAGCGGUGAAAUGCGUAGAUAUUAGGAGGAACACCAGUGGCGAAGGCGGCUUACUGGACUGUAACUGACGUUGAGGCUCGAAAGCGUGGGGAGCAAACAGGAUUAGAUACCCUGGUAGUC
rnacentral:rRNA from 1 species